rnacentral:rRNA from 1 species
AAAUUGAAGAGUUUGAUCAUGGCUCAGAUUGAACGCUGGCGGCAGGCCUAACACAUGCAAGUCGAGCGGUAGCACAGAGAGCUUGCUCUCGGGUGACGAGCGGCGGACGGGUGAGUAAUGUCUGGGAAACUGCCUGAUGGAGGGGGAUAACUACUGGAAACGGUAGCUAAUACCGCAUAANNNNNNNNNNNNNNNNNNNNNNNNNNNNNNNNNNNNNNNNNNNNNNNNNNNNUUAGCUAGUAGGUGGGGUAACGGCUCACCUAGGCGACGAUCCCUAGCUGGUCUGAGAGGAUGACCAGCCACACUGGAACUGAGACACGGUCCAGACUCCUACGGGAGGCAGCAGUGGGGAAUAUUGCACAAUGGGCGCAAGCCUGAUGCAGCCAUGCCGCGUGUGUGAAGAAGGCCUUCGGGUUGUAAAGCACUUUCAGCGGGGAGGAAGGCGAUAAGGUUAAUAACCUUGUCGAUUGACGUUACCCGCAGAAGAAGCACCGGCUAACUCCGUGCCAGCAGCCGCGGUAAUACGGAGGGUGCAAGCGUUAAUCGGAAUUACUGGGCGUAAAGCGCACGCAGGCGGUCUGUCAAGUCGGAUGUGAAAUCCCCGGGCUCAACCUGGGAACUGCAUUCGAAACUGGCAGGCUAGAGUCUUGUAGAGGGGGGUAGAAUUCCAGGUGUAGCGGUGAAAUGCGUAGAGAUCUGGAGGAAUACCGGUGGCGAAGGCGGCCCCCUGGACAAAGACUGACGCUCAGGUGCGAAAGCGUGGGGAGCAAACAGGAUUAGAUACCCUGGUAGUCCACGCCGUAAACGAUGUCGAUUUGGAGGUUGUGCCCUUGAGGCGUGGCUUCCGGAGCUAACGCGUUAAAUCGACCGCCUGGGGAGUACGGCCGCAAGGUUAAAACUCAAAUGAAUUGACGGGGGCCCGCACAAGCGGUGGAGCAUGUGGUUUAAUUCGAUGCAACGCGAAGAACCUUACCUGGUCUUGACAUCCACAGAACUUUCCAGAGAUGGAUUGGUGCCUUCGGGAACUGUGAGACAGGUGCUGCAUGGCUGUCGUCAGCUCGUGUUGUGAAAUGUUGGGUUAAGUCCCGCAACGAGCGCAACCCUUAUCCUUUGUUGCCAGCGGUUAGGCCGGGAACUCAAAGGAGACUGCCAGUGAUAAACUGGAGGAAGGUGGGGAUGACGUCAAGUCAUCAUGGCCCUUACGACCAGGGCUACACACGUGCUACAAUGGCAUAUACAAAGAGAAGCGACCUCGCGAGAGCAAGCGGACCUCAUAAAGUAUGUCGUAGUCCGGAUUGGAGUCUGCAACUCGACUCCAUGAAGUCGGAAUCGCUAGUAAUCGUAGAUCAGAAUGCUACGGUGAAUACGUUCCCGGGCCUUGUACACACCGCCCGUCACACCAUGGGAGUGGGUUGCAAAAGAAGUAGGUAGCUUAACCUUCGGGAGGGCGCUUACCACUUUGUGAUUCAUGACUGGGGUGAAGUCGUAACAAGGUAACCGUAGGGGAACCUGCGGUUGGAUCACCUCCUUACCUUAAAGAA